rnacentral:rRNA from 1 species
AUGAUUGAAGUUUUUCUAUUUGGAAUCGUCUUAGGCCUAAUUCCUAUUACUUUAGCGGGAUUAUCCGUGACUGCAUAUUUGCAAUACAGGCAUGGCGAUCAGUUGGAUCUUUGA